rnacentral:rRNA from 1 species
UAACCUGCCUGGUAGCGGGGGAUAACUAUUGGAAACGAUAGCUAAUACCGCAUAAGAGUAGAUGUUGCAUGACAUUUGCUUAAAAGGUGCAAUUGCAUCACUACCAGAUGGGCCUGCGUUGUAUUAGCUAGUUGGUGAGGUAACGGCUCACCAAGGCGACGAUACAUAGCCGACCUGAGAGGGUGAUCGGCCACACUGGGACUGAGACACGGCCCAG